GUGUGUGUGUUGGUGUGUGCACUCUAUUGUGCAAGAAGUGUCGUCCAGUCGCGUUAAUUGAAAGACAAAACAAACAAAAACUCACAAAACAGAGCGCAAACAAACCAACUGUAUAUAAGCAAACAUACAAAAGUACAUGUAUGCAUGUUUGUAUGUAAGUGCCAACACAUAUGUAUGUAUAUGUAUAUAAGCAGCAACUUUGUAUUAAUCGUGCCAUUAAGUUGACGCGUCGACCAACACCCGCUGACAUAUAGACUAAAAGAAAUGUAUAUACAUACAUACAUAUAUAAGUAAAUAUAUAGAGUACACUUGUAUGUACAUACUUAUGUAUUUGCAUCUGGAGAUCCGCUGGCAGUGGGCAGUAAUUGAGCGAAGGCUGCAAAGAAAAAGUGUUUAUGGGUUGAAUUGCUGCCUAAUUUAAUGACCUUCACUGUACACUAAUGCAAAUAGCAAUACAAGCAGCCUGAAAGCACGCUACAGUAAUUGUUGACAUGACGACCGACGAAGUGAUUUUGCGGCGCGACAAGGCCGCAGCAAAUGGCGAACCUUUCACCGAGCCGCCACCGCGUCUACGCG